rnacentral:rRNA from 1 species
UGCGCAGGCGGGGCAAUAAGUCAGUGGUGAAAUCCUGCGGCUUAACCGUAGAACUGCCAUUGAUACUGUUGCCCUUGAGUAUAGUUGAGGUGGGCGGAAUAUGUAAUGUAGCGGUGAAAUGCAUAGAUAUUACAUAGAACACCAAUUGCGAAGGCAGCUCACUAAGCUAUCACUGACGAUGAGGCACGAAAGCGUGGGGAGCGAACAGGAUUAGAUACCCUGGUAGUCC